GCCAGUAGCCAUAUCACCUUGCAACUAACAACUGGCAACCCACUGAAGCUAAGCAGGUGUGAGCCUGGUCAGUACCUGGAUGGGAGACCUCCUGGGAAAAACUAAGGAGGUGUUAGUG
rnacentral:rRNA from 1 species